UUUCCGUAGGUGAGCCUGCGGAAGGAUCAUUAUUGUAUAACCGAGGUGCGAGGGCUGUCGCUGACUCGAAAGGUCGUGCACGCCCGAGUGCCCUCACACACAUCCAUCUCACCCCUAUGUGCACCACCGCGUGGGUCCCCCCUUGGCUUGUUCGGAGGGGGGCUUACGUUUUCACACAAACUUUGUAUGCAGUGUAGAAUGUAUUUUUUGUUUUUGCGAUCACGCAAUCAAUACAACUUUCAACAACGGAUCUCUUGGCUCUC
rnacentral:misc_RNA from 1 species